AAAGUCUAUUGGCAUUAUUCAGCUGCACAACCACCCGCGGGAAGAAGCUGUUUUCAGUCUAAUUGUUUUGGCUAAGAUGUUUCUGUAUCUCCUACCAGAUGGCAGGAGAUUGAACAGACAGUGUCCUUGAUGGGAUGAAUCUGUAAUGAUGUUACAAGUGUGCUGUAGGCAUUGAGAGUUGUAGAGUGUUUCCAAGUCCAGUAGCUGAGCCCCAGUGAUGUGCUGGGCUGUCCUAAUCACCCUUUGAAGUGUUUUGUGAUCUGUCUUGCUGCAGCUGGGGUACCACAGUGUCAUUCUGUUUGUCAGUAUGCUGUCUAUCUAUGAAGGGGAUGCACACUGAGUGGAUGCACAGUAAAAUGGAGUGAACAUACUCCAGUGGAACAUGAUGAUUUUGAUAUCCGUGAGGACAGAUGGCUCAAAAUGAUUGGAAGGAAUGACCGCAAACUGAAACAAUCCCUGAUGACCAAGGUAGCAACCAGCUGAAAGCCUGCUGUUCAGCCGCUUCCUACUGAGGGGCACACCUGUUUGCCAGAUUGUACAAUAAACUGGAGAGAAUGGAGAAGACCCUGUAUGAUUCCAGCAUCAGCAGGCUCCUCUGUCCUGCAGGAGGGGAUUGUUCUUUUCCAAACUCCGCUCAUGAUGGCAGCGAGGCCCUUGGAAGACACACAGCAGCUGUGAGUCCCUAUGAGUUGUGCAGUCUUUUGAGAUGUUGGUAUACCUGGCACCCACAGUGAACAAGUUCCUCGACAACAACUGAAAACUGAAUGAGGGCAUUCACAGUGGAGUAGAACAUUGAUAUAGAGUCAGUGAAAAGCUACACACAAACAUUGACUGACAAGCAACCAAUGUGCAAAAGAAGACAAACUGUGCAGGCGAGCAAAUAAAUACACAAAUAAUACAGAGAACAUGAGUUGUAAAGUCCUUGAAAAUGAGUCCAUAGAUUGUUGAAUCAGUUCAGAGUUGAGAUGAGCAAAGUACAGCCCAAGUAUUUCCCUUGGUUAGAAAUGGUUUGGAGGUCAGUGGUGAUGAGGAGCAGGUUUUAUUGGGAAGCAGCUGGUCUCUCUAGUGCUGCGGGGAAAAACUAGUUGGGGACGAACUGCAGUAACGAAAGCCUGGUUGGUCAGUGAAUGACCAGAGUGGCUUGUCUUCCUAUAAUGUGAUCCGGUUUCAAGGGAGAAGCUGGAGAAAGUUGUUGAACAACGAUGAAUGUUGUCUGUGGACGUGCAUUUGCUGCUGUUCAAAUAUGAGUCCCCGCAGCAAAGAAUAUCCUGGAGGAAGUCAGCGGGUCAAGCAGUAUGAGUGGGAGGAAAAGAAUUGUUGACGCUGCUCGUCGAAACCCUACAUUAGGAUCAAUCCCAACAUAGUACAGGGUGAAAGGUAACUCAAAAAUAGUCGCAAUUACGUUCCACUCUGGGUCAAAGUCGGGUUUGUGUCAUGUCUGCACAGAUGCAAUGAAAAGAUAUUGUUAGGAACAUCAACAGGAACUUUGCAUCAGAUACACAACAUUAACAAGAAAACAUAAAUUAUACAAUAAUACAAAUAAAGUCAUUUUUAAAAAAAUAUUGCUUUGCAAUAUAAGUUCUAGGUUUCUUGCCAGGGAAAAUGAUCAGCCCUGGUCCUACUGAAUGGCACAGCCAUCACAGGUGGCUGAAUCACUCUUCCUAUUUCUUCUGCUCUGCGGACUAGGAUUUCCAGACUGAAGUUAAUUCAACUUGUUUUGAAAAUGGUAGUGCACAGGAUACAGUAAAUUUCCACGAAGGAGGCCAGAAUCUAAAUUUUCCUGCUUUUUAUAAACAGUACUUGCUGCAAGAUUUUUUUUCUCUUGAAAUUGCCUCAAGGUCUCCUGCUUCCUGGCUGGCUCACUAUUCUGGGAUUUAGCCACUGUCUGUGCUGCAUAAAUGAUGUUUUCCAUAUGAGGCCAUAGCCUGGCACAAUGUCCUGACACGUUUCAAAUGAGUCAAACCAGUCAUCGUCUAAAUAUAACAAGAAAAUAGCUGGAUAAGUGUGGGAACAAAAGAGAUGAGAGAAAAUUAUCACUGUAACAGAAUUGCUAACCUGCGGCCUUUUCUGUGGGCGGUUUCUGGUCCAUGCAUUAUGAUCACCGUCUUCAAAGCCAACACAAAACCCUCUCGUCUAAUAUGUUAAGAUGUGGUAUUUUUGAUGUUCUUUCCUCUCUUCUCUCCUCUUCCCUCACAAUCCACGUAUACCAGCUCUAUCUGCUUGCCAUAAGAUGGGACUUCUCACCAAAUGUACUGUAGAUAAUCAGCCUGAAGACCCACAAGAGCCAGGACUUAAUCCAUUGGACUCAUGAAGUUGGGUGUGGAAAAGGGGGAAGAGUGUCCUGUUUGGAGGAAUUGCUCCAGCUGUAUUCAUCUAUCAUGUUAUAAAUAAAUGUCUCUGUCUCAAUGGCCUGACAUGGGAGAUCCAGCAAGGCUGAUGGGACCGAGCUGGGGAAGCUCUGCACCGUGUAGCAAUGCUGCUGGUAGAGCUUCACAAGACCUGCAACCCUUACUCCAGCAUUGUACAUAUGAAGUCUGCACAUUGUCCCUGAGACUAUGGGGUUUCCUCAGGGUGCUGAAGUGUCCUUCCACCUGCCAAAUAUGUGUGGGUUAUGACGUUAACAGGCACUGCUGAUUAACCCUAGUGUGUACGUGAGUAGUAGACUCUGGGGAGUUAAUGGGAAUUUGGGAUAACAGGUGACAGGGAACGUUAGUGGGAGACUGGGAUUCCCUUGUGAACCAGCAAAGACUCAGUGGGUCAAAUGUCCUCCAUACGGAAAUAUGGAGACAAGGUAACGGAUGUUUCUGUUAAUGAGUUGUAGGCAGCUGAAGAUCUUGCCUAGCUGUUUAAUACAACAGUGUCAUUUUCCUGAGAUGUGCUGCUAUCAGAGCCCACUCUACAUUACCAGCCAGAUUUCUGUAAGUUCUUGAUUUUUUGGGCUGCAGCAAUUUUUUCUGAAUUAUUAAUACCAUCACUAUUUCAAUCGUGCUCACACUGUUAUGACAUAACAACGCCGAUACUCACAUCCUGAAAAUAACACUGUUAAUAUGAUAACGGGGUAAUUUAUGUGAUAAUGUGGCUCAUGCCUGUAUCAAGCCCCUUGGACUUUAGAAGAGAUUUAAGGGGACCGUUCGGGUUAAGCAGCAACUCUCCACAACCAACCCGCAGUCUAUCCAAGAGCACCAGCAAGUGUCAUUCAGAGCCAAUCCACAUCUCCACAAACAAAUCUUAACCCCUCCAACCCACAAUCUAUCCAAGGGCAUCAGGGACUGUCAUGCAGAGCCACCAUUAAAAGAACAAUUUGGAUUUAUGCAGCACUUUACUAAAUAUUCAGAGAAUCCUAAGGCACUUCAGAACCAGCAGUUUAUUUCUGAAGUACAUUCACCGUUGUGAUGUGGGCAAAUGAAAUUCUCAAUAUGCACAAAGCAAACACCAGCACAUGCUUAAGACGAUUAUGGAAGAGGACAGGGCAAUAUCAAAUAUUCAAAUAUUCAGCUGGAGCAAGGCUGAUUUCAGUGAGCUGAAAAAGCUAUCUGGUGCUGGUGAGCUACAGCAGGUGUGAUCAGGCAGAGAAUGAAUUAUCAGUGGGUGACCUUUAAGGAGGACGUAAUACAAGUGUAAACUAAACAAAAAAUAGAGAAGUUCAUCCCUUGAUGAUUACAGAUAUAUAAAUGGCACAACCUUGUAAUAAAUAUUAAAGGAGGUAACAACAAACUGACUUCUUCCCCCUUCUCUUCCAGUCCUGAUGAAAAGCCUUGGCCCAAAACAUCGACUGUUUAUUCCUUUCCGUAGAAGUUGCUGAGUUCGUCGGCAUUUUGUGUGAUUUUAACAAGUAAAUCUGCAUUCAGAGUGCAGGAAGAGAGCUGUUCCACACAACCUAAUUUUCGAUUGUCCUAUUGUUGUAGGUGCGAUGAAAUUCCUGCUAAAAUGCUGGAAUUGAGCAGUGCAAUAGGAUGUUUACAGCCUACCAAGUCCUGUAUCACAUCCAGACUGAAUGUUAGCAGUGACUGCACCGCACUGGAUUAUGAUGAUGCUGAGGUGCGCUGGGACACACCGUCAGUGAUGUAACCUGGGGUCUUCAGGUGCUUUGGGUCUUUUAGCAUCAGACACCCUCGCCCAGGUGUCCCAGCCAGGGUUGAUCAGGCCCUGGUUUGUGUUCCAGCAGCAUUGGUCCAAGGAUCAGACCUCUUGCUCCAUAGCCAAAUCUGAGCUAAAAUCCUUCUAGUGAAGGUGUGUUCAUAGUCAGAAGUAAAGGCACAACCAGCAAGCGGAGCAAUUUAAAGUGAAAUUCCCUUCAUCUCUUCUUUCACCAAUAUUCCACUGAGUAUUAUUAUUUACAUGACUUGGGAACUACAGAAUAAAAUUAAACACCAUUUGUAAAAUGCAUCAGUGAUUGUGCAGCGUAUAAUUAGGGUGCAUCAAUGCUGAUCCUCCAGAAACAGUCCAUCACAAGUACAUCCAGGUCUAACAACCUUAAUGCAUCAAGCAAGCUUAGUAGUAUGAUUAGUAAACCAAGGAUGAUCGGUUUAAUCAGUGUUUGUCUACAAAACUGAAAAUCCUGUCCUCUAUUCAGGAAGCAAUAGAAUUAAUCCAGCUUUGAAUAAAACCUGGAGCUGCCAAGGCUGCUUUAUGCCAACAAAGCUGUUUAAUUUCCUGAUUCUUAACUUGGAAAAAAAUAAAUUACCAGUCCUUCUUAGAAUGAAGCACUCUAAAGGGAGAAUUAAUGUCCUGAUGUUCCCUCUGCUCUGAAAUUAAAAGAAGUGUAAGGCAAUAUUCAA